AACCAUGAAGUGAUGUUUGGGCAGACAUAACCCACUUCCCUAAGGGCUUCCUCCAAAUGAUGACUUUUCAGUAUGUCUCUCCCCGUUGAUUUCCUAUCACUCCAUCAUCAGAAUGUAUAACGUCCCCAGGUAGCCCCGGCUGAGGCAAAAACAUAGACGGGUAUCUUAACAGGACCUUGUCGAGCAGCCGCACGGCCAGUCUGGAAUUCAAAAUUAUGCGUGAAUCGUUUGCAAAGCAUGUGAGCCAUGUGCCGAUCAUUGAGGACUGACUAUUCUGAGAGAUGCUGGGCUGAGGUUCGCCCGACAGCCUUGCAGUAACAAGAAAAGGCUCAUAGAAGCGUGUCCUCAAUCCUUGGCAUCAAAGCACGGCUAAGGCCACAGCGCUGCAAGUUCAUGCUUGGAGUCUGGGUAUUCUUCACACGGGGCAAACAAGGUCUCUUGCAGAGGGAAAUGUGAACCCCUUCACGCGGGGCAGGAUGAUCCGCACACACCCAGAGAUACCUAGAGCUGUCAUCCAGUGCUGAGCUUUCCCACUCGGGUGCAAACCGCAGAGUUCCCCGGGGUCAAACCUGCUAUUUUUAACUAAGAAGACAAAGAAAUCAGGGCAUGGCUCAUCGGCAGCUGGGUUAAUAAAUUCUAGGAACCUAAGCUGGCUUCUAUGACUUGAUCAAAAAGCCUGGCAUUAUGAGCAAGAGGGCUGAUAGCAACAAGCCUUCUCAGAAUGGGCUCAUCCAAGGGCCCGCUUCGCCCUUUGAUCCAGAAGCUCUCCAGCAGUUUCCAGCCACCGAGGGGACCUGCCAAUCAGAGGUAACCCCACCUGCAUGCUUUAGAGGAAAAUUUACAAACUGAAGUUCACCUGACCUAACGACAGGGAUGCUUGGUUUUCCUGGAGCAACUAAUGAAUGGUGGGCAUUGGCAUUUCGAACCAAGAAAAGAAAGGACAUCUUAGGCCAGAAGUAGCCGCCAUGUGGGAAACCAAAUCGGGUUGUGAGAAGAGUCCCAUUUCCUGCUCAUAACUAAGACUACAGCCUGACCCUCCAGAGCUGCUCAUCUUCAGGGGAUUUCACGGGUCCUUGGCCAGAGACCAACCUGGAUCAGAAGAGGAAACCCCCUGGGCCCUGCUUUUACAGAAACAGCUUUAGUCAUCGGGCUUUGCUUAUUGAAAGAGUAUCCUUUCUUGUCCUGGAGCCAAGGUAAAAGAAUAUGCUGCCAGGUUAUCUGAGAGGCCCACAGGGAGAUGCCAGUGAGACAAGCCCUAUGGUCCCAUACUACCUUCUCUCAUGGGGACGGCCAAGAAGACGCCAUCUUCGCCACACUCCCCAGUGCCUACUGUCUGCAAGAGGUGUGACAGCAAUGCACCCAGAACUCAGUAGCCACUUGUUUCCUUUUUCCCUGGGAAGGCCGAGGACAUCUGGCAUUAGCACCUUGGAAUUCUGAGCUGGAAAAUGGUGACAAGAAGAGUGAGGGCGGAAGGUCAUUUUGAACGCUAAAUGUCACCCAGCACUAUGGGGUCCUGCAGGAUGUUGCCGAGGUGUUUUCUGUUUCUCCUUCUCAGUUCUUUAUGGAAUUCUCCCGGCUUCUGUGUGCAGAGAGCCCUGCUAACUGACAGGAAGCCGAGUGUGAGAUUUCGUCACCAUUAAGAGUGGGGACAGAGCAGUGGCAAUGGGAUCACACGAUCCCACUCACCCCAGGUCAAGGCCAUCAUUACUCAUCAUGAUAGGUUACAGGGGCAAGUUUACCCAGCUCACAGACCACUGUUGCUCCCUCUUUGUUUCUCAGCCAGAAAAGUACAGCAAGUUCAGCUACCCCCACUGGCCACUGGACAAAUGCCCAGUUGCUCCCUGGGGAAACCUCACGGCAACCAUGUCACAGUGGACUCCGCCCGCCCAUGUCUUCACAGCUGCUUCACUGUCCAUUCUUUCUCCACUGCAUUUCUUGAAUAAGCCCUUUUCUUUGAUCCAUGCUGCUGCAUCAUCUUUGGAGAAGUUCUCAUCUUUUCUCUGCCAGACUUUGGUUCUGUCUUCCUGCUUAAUUUCCCGAUACCAGCAUCUACCCACUGUGUUCCAUUUUACACGUGGCUCUCAGCUGAGUCUUCCUGAUGCGUGCCUCUCGGAUCACGUCUCUUCUGUCCACAAGCUCUUGGUGAUACUUUGGGGCCCACUGCUCACAGCCCAACACAGCGAUCCUGCAUGGCUUACCCACCAAAGUCCAAAGAACUCCCAAAGAUGAAACUGUCCAGUGAACCUGUGAAACUGUCACACGCUACCUUAUGAACAAAGAAAUGAGACCCACGACGUUGCUCAAACUCCAGCAGCCCAGGUACCAGUGGUGAAUUUCACGUGUCCUGUCCAAACGGGUUUCUCUACGCAGCCUCCUUGUCACAAUCCAAAAGUCCUUUCCCGUGUCUAACCUGAGUGAUCCCUUGAGCUCUUGAAUUCCACGAUCUUUAACUCUUCCUGGUUUGAAGAGUGAGUUCCCCUCUCAGAAAUGAGACUAGCAAAGUAAAAAAGAAACCAGCGACUCCUAAGACAAAGACCAAAGAAGGCCCACAGCUUUAGCGGAGAAGGGCCAGAACAGAGAGGCAGGUUAAUGGGUGUUUGUGACUCCAGUAUGCUCAGUGCCCCACAUCUCAGGACCUUAACCGCCCACAGACAAGUCUCUUGAUUUUGAUGGGGAAUCUCUCUGCGGCUCUUAUGCUUCAGUUGCUCAAAACACAAGUGUUUAUUAUGCAUCCGCACAAUUAGACCAUCAUGAUAAGCCCUGAUGAUAGCGGUGGUGUAAGGCACUGCUGGAGUAAAGACCCUUGGGGCAUCAGCACAAUGCAUAGAGACUGUGGAAAGCAACUUGGAGAAUAAAACGUGGAAAAUGUACCCAUCUUUCCAGCCCUGCCACUUCCUCCCACUUCUGGGGCGGAGUGCAACAGUGCUGAAAAGUGGACAUUCACUCUUCACGGGGGAAGAGGGUGGAACACACCCUAUCACACACAACUCUGAGGGUCCCAAUUCUCCAGAGUUGCUUGUCAUGUGUAAAAAAUGAACACAGAGGAUCUUACUGCUUUGUGAGGCCUGUGACAGUCCACAAUGCAGUUAGGAGGUUCUUCUUAAGAUCUAACCUGCAUUUCUAUUGCUGUUUUUGUUUGACCAUAGAUUGCUCGAGCCUCUUUGCCAACAGAGAAAUACUCAUAGCCCUUCCCAGCUGGCCAUUUGAUUCAGUUGUAACAGAGCUGUUCCAAAAUCCAUGGUAAAGGAGUUCCCGUUGUGGUGCAGUGGAAACAAAUCCGACUAGGAACCAUCAGGUUGCGAGUUCCAUCCCUGGCUUCACUUAUUGGGUUAAGGAUCCGGUGUUGCUGCAAGCUGUAGUGUGUAGGCCACAGUUAUGGCUCUGAUCUGGCACUGCUGUGGCUGUGGCAUACUUCAGCAGCUGUAGCUCAGAUAAGACCCCUAGCCUGGGAAUCUGCAUAUGCCACAGGUGCAGUCCUAAAAAGAAAAAAUAAAGUGAAAUCCAUGGUAAAAUGUCUGUCCCUGAAAAGGGCCAUUGAGCUUUGCUGCAUAAGAGAGCUAUGGACCAUACCUCUUAAGCUAGAUAUCCUGGCCAUACAUGUGUGAAUGCAGAUGAUCUCAUGACCACUGCUUCUUUUCUACUUUAAAAAAAAAAAAAAGACUUGUGCCUGCACUUCAACCUGACAGAAGAGAGCUGAAGUGUCAGCCAGACACCCAGAACUAACCUUUGUCCCCUCAUUAGGGCAGGACGCUAGGCCAGAGCUGGGUGGGAGCCAGAGCCCAGCCCUGUGCUUUAGCCUGAGGCCAUUAUCCCCAUCUUGAAGGCAAGAAGGCGGAGGCAAGAGCAGAGCCCCAUCCAGCAGGUGCUGGGAAUUAGCAGGGUAAGUGGCUUAACAUUCCCAACCUUGGUUUGUUUCCUCACUUGAAAAAGGGGGAUAAGAGAUGACAUAUCUCACAGGAUUGCUGAGAAGAUUCCAUUCAACAGGAUAAAGUGGGUAAUGCAAGGCCUGGCACCUAAAGAGUGACCAUUUCACUGCACCUCUUGUGCAAUGACAUUGGUAGAGCCACCUCUGGGGGCAAAGGAGCAAAGAGAGAGUGUGGGAAGGAGAGCUCCGGAAGCGACCCAGGCCCCGUCAGCCCCGUGGCCCUGCACUUAACUCCACUGUGCAGGGGGGCAGAACGUUCAUGCAGGUCCGGCUCUCUCUCAGAUAUGGAAGGAUCGGCAGCACAAUAAAGACCUGCCUCCCACGAGAUGGGCCCUGCGCCGAGCUGCCUGGAUCCAGGGGAGACAUCGCUGUCCAGCAUUUCCAUCAGGGCUCCCCCGAGCCAGUCCCUGGGGCACACACAAAGCCCCAUUCAGGACGGCUGGAGCUUUGAGAGCAGGCAGAGGAGCUGGGGGCCCGGGAAGGGGGUGGAGGAGCAGCACAGAGCCUGGCACCAACCCGCCGCCGGCCCGCCUCGGGCGAGUGGGCGUGGAGGGCGCAGGUCCGCGGCCGUCCAUGCAGCACCCUUUGUCCUUCCGCAGAUUCCUUUCUCUGGUGGUCCAGGGCCCGGCGGCACCAGCUGCCACGGCUGGACCUGCGUGACCUCCCCGGAGGAGGCUGGGCACCCCCCACCCCCACCCCCCCUGAUGCCAGCCCCAGAAGCAGGGUAUCCAGUGGAAACAGAUCAUUGCUAACUGGCUUGCCAUUUCAAAAGCACUUCUGGGAAAACCGCCUCUGAGAGGUUCCCACCCUGGGUAUGUACUUGCUGUGGCACUGAAAAGAAGUCAAAUUAACCCACGGUUACCACCCUUUAUUCCUCAGGACCUAGGAAGCUGCUCCGUGUUCUUCAGCCUUGGCUUUCCCACCUGUACAAUGGAGCCUGGUAAAACAAUCUGCCGGAAUUCAAAGAGCAGCUGUUGUGAGCGUUUCCAGGUAGCAGUUCAUUCUCCCUGAGCAGGCAGGCAGGCAGGCCGGCCCCAGCCUUCCUCGCUGGGGCCUCCUGGAUGGUACAGAGAAUGCCCGGUCUAGAGUCCCCACGGACAGCCCCCAAAUAUGUCAAGUUUGAUGCAUCGAGGCCAUGCUCGCUCUGCAGUGUGCUGAAUUUUGGAGCAGGCUGCUCACGGGCCCAUGACCCUUGGAUGCAGAAGAAAAUAAGUCCCCUCCUUUACCUUUUUCCUCCUCAAAUGAUGAAAUGCUAUCCCGAU
rnacentral:lncRNA from 1 species